GAUGAGCGCUGGCGGCGUGCCUAAUACAUGCAAGUCGAGCGAACAGACGAGGAGCUUGCUCCUCUGACGUUAGCGGCGGACGGGUGAGUAACACGUGGAUAACCUACCUAUAAGACUGGGAUAACUUCGGGAAACCGGAGCUAAUACCGGAUAAUAUAUUGAACCGCAUGGUUCAAUAGUGAAAGACGGUUUUGCUGUCACUUAUAGAUGGAUCCGCGCCGCAUUAGCUAGUUGGUAAGGUAACGGCUUACCAAGGCAACGAUGCGUAGCCGACCUGAGAGGGUGAUCGGCCACACUGGAACUGAGACACGGUCCAGACUCCUACGGGAGGCAGCAGUAGGGAAUCUUCCGCAAUGGGCGAAAGCUUGACGGAGCAACGCCGCGUGAGUGAUGAAGGUCUUCGGAUCGUAAAACUCUGUUAUUAGGGAAGAACAAAUGUGUAAGUAACUAUGCACGUCCUGACGGUACCUAAUCAGAAAGCCACGGCUAACUACGUG
rnacentral:rRNA from 1 species